UACGUAGGUCCCGAGCGUUGUCCGGAUUUAUUAGGCGUAAAGCGAGCGCAGGUGGUUUAUUAAGUCUGGUGUAAAAGGCAGUGGCUCAACCAUUGUAUGCAUUGGAAACUGGUAGACUUGAGUGCAGGAGAGGAGAGUGGAAUUCCAUGUAUAGCGGUGAAAUGCGUAGAUAUAUGGAGGAACACCGGUGGCGAAAGCGGCUCUCUGGCCUGUAACUGACACUGAGGCUCGAAAGCGUGGGGAGCAAACAGG
rnacentral:rRNA from 1 species